rnacentral:rRNA from 1 species
AUUGAACGCUGGCGGCAUGCCUUACACAUGCAAGUCGAACGGCAGCACGGGUGCUUGCACCUGGUGGCGAGUGGCGAACGGGUGAGUAAUACAUCGGAACAUGUCCUGUAGUGGGGGAUAGCCCGGCGAAAGCCGGAUUAAUACCGCAUACGAUCCACGGAUGAAAGCGGGGGACCUUCGGGCCUCGCGCUAUAGGGUUGGCCGAUGGCUGAUUAGCUAGUUGGUGGGGUAAAGGCCUACCAAGGCGACGAUCAGUAGCUGGUCUGAGAGGACGACCGGCCACACUGGGACUGAGACACGGCCCAGACUCCUACGGGAGGCAGCAGUGGGGAAUUUUGGACAAUGGGCGAAAGCCUGAUCCAGCAAUGCCGCGUGUGUGAAGAAGGCCUUCGGGUUGUAAAGCACUUUUGUCCGGAAAGAAAUCCUUGACUCUAAUACAGUCGGGAGAUGACGGUACCGGAAGAAUAAGCACCGGCUAACUACGUG